rnacentral:rRNA from 1 species
GAUGAACGCUGGCGGCGUGCCUAAUACAUGCAAGUCGAGCGAACGGACGAGAAGCUUGCUUCUCUGAUGUUAGCGGCGGACGGGUGAGUAACACGUGGAUAACCUACCUAUAAGACUGGGAUAACUUCGGGAAACCGGAGCUAAUACCGGAUAAUAUUUUGAACCGCAUGGUUCAAAAGUGAAAGACGGUCUUGCUGUCACUUAUAGAUGGAUCCGCGCUGCAUUAGCUAGUUGGUAAGGUAACGGCUUACCAAGGCAACGAUGCAUAGCCGACCUGAGAGGGUGAUCGGCCACACUGGAACCGAGACACGGUCCAGACUCCUACGGGAGGCAGCAGUAGGGAAUCUUCCGCAAUGGGCGAAAGCCUGACGGAGCAACGCCGCGUGAGUGAUGAAGGUCUUCGGAUCGUAAAACUCUGUUAUUAGGGAAGAACAUAUGUGCAAGUAACUGUGCACAUCUUGACGGUACCUAAUCAGAAAGCCACGGCUAACUACGUG